GCGCCGGUGGUGUAAAGGCGUAGAGCAUUCCCGCCCGGCUAGCAGGAGGUGCGGGUUCGAGUCCCGCUUGGCGCU
rfam:Heligmosomoides polygyrus genome assembly, scaffold: HPBE_scaffold0001005